CGUGCUGUCCGCUCGCGAAAGCCUUCCCUGACGUCCUUGGUCUGGAGCGGCGCUUCCGGGACUGCGGUGACGCAGCGCCGUCCUCGGACCAAAUGGAGCUAAUCGUAAUUAGCUUGCCAUUUGGCCCCCAUGUCAAGUCUAGCUCCGCCAUGGCUCCUAACGACUCCAUGUUCCUUUCGGGAAAACUUUUUGAAGCUGGCGACAUUCUGUCAAGACGUGGACUUUGACGGGGUUUGUAUUCCCGAGUUGCAAGGAAAUUGAAGCGGACAUGGCGUGAAGGGGUUAGGUGGAGAAACAGAUGUGGCCAAACUUCCCCCGCGAACAACAGAAUGAGGCCCACUUGUCAAAGAACCCAGUUUCUCCUUCAUGUGGGUGAGAGUAAACCUUUAAAGCGGAAGAGAGGUUAUUAGGUGACCACAGAUGAAGCGCUAGCUGUUCAAAGUCGGGAUCCGGGGUGGACCACUCAUAUUUACAUCAGUUGAUGACGUCUCUGCGCUGCUGACUUGUCGCCACUCAAGAUGAUCUCCUGCUGGCCCCACUAUGGACUAAACUCUCACACUAUUAACUAGAUCCACUCAACGUCGUUUGUAGCCCAUUGGGUUGAGUUUUUUCUUGCCCUGAUGUGGGAUCUGAGCCGAGGAUGUCGUUGUGGCUUGUGCAGCCCUUUGAGACACUAGUGAUUAAGGGCUAUAUAAAUAAACUUUGAUUGAUUGAUUGAUUGAACUCACAGCUGCUAUCCAGACCGUUUGGCUUCUUUAAAGGGGAACAUUAUCACAAUUUCAGAAGGGUUAAAACCAUUAAAAAUCAGUUCCCAGUGGCCUAUUUUAUUUUUCGAAGUUUUUUUCAAAAUUUUACCCAUCACGCAAUAUCCCUAAAAAAAGCUUCAAAGUGCCUGAUUUUAACCAUCGUUAUAUACACCCGUCCAUUUUCCUGUGACGUCACACAGUGAUGCCAAUACAAACAAACAGCAAGGUAUAGCGACAUUAGCUCGGAUUCAGACUCGGAUUUCAGCGGCUUAACACUGUCUGAUAAGAUAAUUACUAACAACUAUGAACUAGGUUUACAGCAUAUGAAAUACAUUUGGCAACAACAUGCACUUUGAAAGUGCAGACAGCCCAUUUCAGGCGCGCUAAGAACAUAUAUUUUUUCCACGAUUUCAGCACUCAGGUUAACCAUACCUAAAUAGACACAAAAUACUGCAUUACACAAGACUACCCGAAUGUACUCAAAUGAUUGAAAAAAAAAAAAAAAGUUUUUAAGCUAAAUUAUUGGUAAACACAGGUUAUGUAUAAUAAUUUACGUAAAACCGCGAGUAAUGAAUAAAGUUUUCAUCAAUUAAUAUAUUCUGUAGACAUACCCUCAUCCGGUCUCUUUUCCUGAAAGCUGAUCUGUCCAGUUUUGGAGUUGAUGUCAGGAGGCCAGGGAAGCUAGGGUCGAUAUUCUUCUCUUGAUCAUCUUCGGUGGCAUAAGGGACGGUGUGAGCCAAGACAUCCAGGGGGUUUAGCUCGCUCGUCUGCGGGAACAAACUGCCGCCAUUGCUUGCCGUGCUACCAAGGUCCGUUGUCCCUGAAUAGCUCACACACUCCGGCAGAUUCAAUGGGGGUCUGGCGGCAGAUUUCUUUGACUUUAUCGUUGGAAAUGCAUCUGCUUUGAGUGUCGCAGGAUAUCCACACAUUCUUGCCAUCCUUGUCGUAGCAUAGCUUUCGUCGGUAAAGUGUGCCGAACAAACAACUGACCAUUUCGUCGGCUUUCCCCACAGCCUCGUAUUUUGAACAAAUUUCGUCCAAUUUCUUGCCACUUUCGCAUCUUUGGGCCACUGGUGCAACUUGAAUCCGUCCCUGUUCGUGUUGUUACGCCCUCCGACAACACACCGACGAAAGUGAGAAAAUGGCGGAUUGCUUCCCGAUGUGACGUCACAACGUGACGUCAUCGCUCCGAGAGCGAAUAAUAGAAAGGCGUUUAAUUCGCCAAAAUUCACCCAUUUAGAGUUCGGAAAUCGGUUAAAAAAAUAUAUGGUCUUUUUUCUGCAACAUCAAGGUAUAUAUUGACGCUUACAUAAGUCUGGUGAUAAUGUUCGCCUUUAACUCACGGAUCCUAGGUCGUUGGCUUUGCUUACACGUUGGAAAUGAGAAAUAUCUCAUGCCGUCAUUGUUUUCCCCUGUGAACGAUUGUGGCAGAUAAUAACGCAGCAAGUUUGCACCAUGUUUUAAACUUGUUAAAAAAACAAAAACACUACAAGCAGUCAGCGUAAACACCCUUAAGAUACCCGUAAAGCCCACAAUGCAUUGCGUUUUUUUAAAUUUGCUAUGUCACCCUUUUUAAGCCUCAUUGUGGGCCUAGUUUACCAUUUUUUGAAAAAAUAUGAUUCAAGCGGUAAAAAAUGGAUGGACGGAUGGAUAUUUUAAAAAACAAAUUGUAAAUAUGAAAGGAAAAAUUCAUCCCCAUUGUAUCAUGAAGUGGCGUUUAUGUGGAAAAUGUAUACCAAAGACUGAAAUAAUUAUAUGCUGUUUUUUUAAUCUCCUUUGGGGAGACACAGUUGGGCUGCAUGAGUUGAUGUCCUGUGGUGCUGGUCAGUUAGACUGGAUUGCCCUGCGUCAUGGGUUCAAGGCAACGCCAUAAAGGACUUUUUUGUUAGCCGUGAGUGGGGGUCAUCUCCCUCCUUCACUGACCAAUGAACAUUCAUGAUCUCCACCUUUCUUAUGAUUUGGUUUAGCCAACGCAAACAAAGGUAUAAAGCCUUGAAUUAUUCAGGAAAAUGAAUAAAGGAUUAAUUUGCAUUGAUUUGGGAACAAAAGGUGUCAUUUUCUGUCCAGAAAAAUAAAGGCAAAGCAUUUCUUCCAGAAACAAAACUGAACAAAAAAAUCUAUUAUUAUGGCGAUCAGGGUGGAAAAUCACUUAAAGUUGUGCUUUGUGCGAUUUUAGUUAUCCGUUGAAUUUUUCACUUGAUCUGCAGACACAGAGUCAAUGCUAGCUUUGUGUGUAGCUACCGUAUAAUUGAAAUAAAAGGAUCAGAGUAAAUUUCAAUAAUUUGACCAGUGAAUGUUGAGAGAGACUGCUAUAAAUCACAACUGACUGAGGAUGGUAAUGCAGUGACAGAUGUCUGUGUUUGUCUGUUUGACUUAUUCAGCACACUCUGUGAAAAGAAU